GUGAGGAAUAUUGGACAAUGGGUGAGAGCCUGAUCCAGCCAUCCCGCGUGCAGGAAGACGGCCCUAUGGGUUGUAAACUGCUUUUGUAUGGGAAUAAACCACCUUACGAGUAGGGUGUUGAAGGUACCAUACGAAUAAGCACCGGCUAACUCCGUGCCAGCAGCCGCGGUAAUACGGAGGGUGCAAGCGUUAUCCGGAUUCAUUGGGUUUAAAGGGUCCGCAGGCGGGCUUGUAAGUCAGGGGUGAAAGCCGGCAGCUUAACUGUAGAACUGCCUUUGAUACUGCAAGUCUUGAGUGAGGUUGAAGUAGCUGGAAUGUGUAGUGUAGCGGUGAAAUGCUUAGAUAUUACACAGAACACCGAUAGCGAAGGCAGGUUACUAAGUCUUAACUGACGCUGAGGGACGAAAGCGUGGGGAGCGAACAGGAUUAGAAACCCUAGUAGUCC
rnacentral:rRNA from 1 species